UACGAAGGGGGCUAGCGUUGCUCGGAAUUACUGGGCGUAAAGGGCGAGUAGGCGGCCUUCUAAGUCAGACGUGAAAUCCCCCGGCUUAACCUGGGAACUGCGUCUGAUACUGGGAGGCUUGAGUAUGGGAGAGGGAUGUAGAAUUCCAGGUGUAGCGGUGAAAUGCGUAGAUAUCUGGAGGAAUACCGGUGGCGAAGGCGGCAUCCUGGACCAUUACUGACGCUGAAUCGCGAAAGCUAGGGGAGCAAACGGG
rnacentral:rRNA from 1 species